GCACAACAAAGACGAAUUAACAAAUUGAGACAGAGAGAAGCUUUAGUUAGCCAGAUUUAACUAACCAUCAGGAGGGACUGUUUACGUUAUGCCAGUUGUUGUAGUUUUUCUGCUCAGCAUUGUUGCUCUAGCGUGGUGGUGCAGCCACAGUUAGGAUUUUGCACCUUUCCUCGUAAAGUCCCUUUCAUUGGAGCACACAAUGCACAUUGUUCUCUAUUGAACUCAACAAAUCAGGAAAAGAUUAAACUCAACAAACAGCUCCCUUAGUCGGCAACAUCAUUAAGGUUAUUUGCAAAUACUGUGCCAAGUGAGAAGGAUCCUCUGCUUGGAGUGAAUUUGGAGAAAAAUGUGGCUUUAAAGCAGGAUGCAGCCCACGGUAGCAUUUCAAAUCCCAAUUGUGUAAUGCUUGCAAAAAAUUCUAUGUCCAGCAGAGCAUGACAGGCUAUCUAAUUGAUGAGGACUCAAUUGAGGAAUAUGAAAAGGUGACAAAGGAAAAGAGGAAGGAGAAAUUGGAGCAACAUGAAGGAGUGGCGUUAAAUUUUCUCAGCAAACUUGGUCAUGUCCAAAAGAUUGAGAUUCUGAAUGGCAUUGCUGACAUGAAGAAUGAGCUCAGGUCCUUCAUGUUAUUUAGAGUGUAGGCUCGAAAGGAGGUUCACAAUGCUUCACCGGGGAGUUUACAUGGGUCCAUGAUCAAAGCUGCCCAACAGGUGCAGGUGCAGGUCACAAUCCCGCCUUCCCUACCCAAAAUUCAGGUGAAGUUUGCUAAGCCCACACAUGGGUAGAGACUUCUGCAACAACAUAUAGCUGCAUGUACCAAUAUAACAUAAGGUUUGAGGCACCUAUGGAUCUAAAAAAAGAGUGGGAAAGAUUAAUAUUUGAACAAAAGUAUAGGGAAGCAUUCACUUCAGCCCAUGAAUUGUUGGAUGUUUAUUUUGUUUUUAGAUAAUGCAGAUUUUGCUUAGUUUUUCAGAGUUUAUAAUUGAGAAGAUGAGCAUGUACUCUUGAAGAAGCUAUUCGUUGGGGUACUGAUUAUCUUCUCAAAGCUACUGCUCAUCCAAACACCAUAUAUGU